CAAUAUUGACGCAAGGCAAAAUAGUGGAACAAAAGAAACAACUUCCUCGAAGCUUUUGCUGAAGCUGCACUUGGCGAGCGCGCCCGCCAGCUCAACUCGCCGGCCGGGAGCCGCGGCGGACGGCCGCCGGGCUGGCGUGGUGGGUGUCACCCCGGCGGAGCGAGGCAGAGAUGCGGGUCGAGCGCAUCCAACAAGCGCCCAUGGCCAAUCAGCGGCGAGCGCCCGUGCCCGCCGCCAGCCAAUAGGAGGGCCGGCAUCCUCUGUCGAAUUUGAAUGAGGAGUGUAUCUUUCGGCGCCAUUUUCGAGUGAGCAGCGGUCGUCCGAGCAGCUGCUGCGGCGUUUCGCGAGCAGGAUGCGGCGGACGGGAGGAGCCGGAGCCGCCGCUUGGUUUUUUUUUUUCCUCCCCCAACUCUUUUUCCUUCUCGCCGGGCAGAUGACGAACUAGUUUCCCCGCGACGGGCCGAGAAGCGAAUAAGCGGCGUUCCGAAGGAGAGCGAGGGUUGUCCGGCGGGACCGGAGGACCCCUGGCGCGGUCCGGCAGAACCUCCGCCGGCAAGAUCAACCCCCCCGACUGUUGUGGCAGUGCCGUAGCAGCACGGAAUGGUUUGUGGGUUACACUGAGAUGCAGGCCAUGCCGUGCUGCCACAGUGAAGCCCGACCCGCUCGUCCGGAACGCCACAGCCCGCCGCUCGCAGCGUUACCGGCGCAGGUCACUUGACUGUAGCAGCACGUAAAUAUUGGAGUGGACUCUCUCGGCCGAAUCCUCCAGUAUUGAUCGUGCUGCUGAAGCAAAGAUGACCGCUCGCUCGCUCGCACGCACGCUAACGCAAUCGCCAGCGCAAAAAAAAAAAAAGUUCUUGUCGAGCGUCUCGAUGUUUGUGUGAAUAAACCAGCUGGAGUUGAGAUUUUGUCUCUUUCGUGUCUUCAAAUAGAAAACAUUCCACAUCUUCCAAAAACAAACAAACAAACAAAAAAAAGUGUCCAUCUUUGAGUUGAGGGGAAAAAAAAGUUCACAGCGAAGCCAAUUUGAACUCGGUUGCUAACCAAAUAAGCUGCACUCAAACGGUAUGUGAGCCUUCCCACACACUUACAUACAAUGUCGUAUGUUUGCGUUUAUACUGCACGCGACAAAGACUUAUGUUUUAAACUCCACUUUGAUUUGGCAUCAAAUGAAAUAUCCAUUUUAAUUUCAUCAUCGGAAUAAUAAUCUGCCCCCUUCUGCAGUUGAGUAGAUACUGUACAGGCACCUGUUGGCCACUGUUGGAGAAAAGGCACUCCCAACGAUUUGACUGUGGAGUCAUGAAUGU